AAUCUGCAGACCAACUUAAAUUGCACAGUUGAUUGGGGUUUCAGAACGAGUCUGCGCAAAUCUGUAAUAAAUAAAUAUUGAGACAGCAUACUUAAGACGAAAUUUCUCGAGAUAAGAGCUGAUGAAGCUUAUCUCAUAACUUUGCUUAAAUAAAUACGAGACGAGCCAGCCUUGGGCCUAAAGUCUAAAAAAAACUUCGCAUGAGUCAAGUAAUAUUCCAAAGACCUGGGUGGUGCGGAUAGAAUCGAUUUGGUUGUCAAACUGAAGCCAAAAUUUUCUAUUGUGCCGGAGCCAAACAUUGAAGAUUGUGGUUAUGUUCGUUUCUGAUCUAAUAUUGAGAAGUAUUGUUAUUAUUUUGGGAAAAAAUAAAAAUAAACUUUAUUUGAGUUUUGUAUUCUUUGUAACAAAUAUUCUCACAUUAUAUUUCGAGUGGAAAAUUAGUGGGAAUGUAAUUAAAAAGGACUCGUUACGAAAUUUCACGAGAUUCAGCAGCUGAUUGGAGCAUCAAUGUAUGUAAACAAUCGUAAAGUCAUGUAGAGUCUAGCGCAUUUGUGCGCCCUCGUGCAGCGUGGAAAGAGAAAUUCGAAGAGCGGGAAAUGUUUGACAGCCAAGUAACUGCAAAAUAAUUUAGUUUAUGGAAGUGAUUUCAAAAUAUCCCUCUGCUCGCUUGAGCGCAGAAAAGCGGCUCUAUCCGCAGCACCCAGCCAAAGACGCGAUCGCAAUGGAUCAAUCAAGGUAACUCAUUUUGCACUCACCGCAUCGAAACAACGGCGGCACUGUAUACGCAUAUUUCUAUUCGUGUUGUUUUGACAGAACAUGUCUACGGUGGCUCGAUCUGUUCGUUUCAUAGCGGCAGUUUUUGCUUAUUGAUUGAUCCAUUUUCAUCAGUAUCGUUCAAACCGAGGUUCAAACGCUACAGUAGUGAAGUUUGAAAAUAUAUCGAGUGUAAAUUUUUAAAAAGGACACAAAUCAUGAAGUUUGAGGCGAUCCCGCUCGAUCGAAAAAGUGUUCGUGCACUCUUGUCUGGGUCAAGAUCUUCGGAAGUAUGGACAUUCCUCGAAUAAUUGUCCAAGGCAUCCAUUAAAUCGAUUAAACACCCUAUUUGGUCGGAUUACAAUAUUUUGCACACCGAUCAAUCUCUAGAUUUAAUCUGAUACACUAGAUGAUGAAAUUAAAUAAACCGAUUUAACCCCAUA